UGGCGGCGUGCCUAACACAUGCAAGUCGAGCGAGAAAGUGGAGCAAUCCAUGAGUAAAGCGGCGCACGGGUGAGUAACACGUGACUAACCUACCCUCGAGUGGGGAAUAACUUCGGGAAACCGAGGCUAAUACCGCAUAACACCUGGUCAAAAGAGCAAUCUGCUUGAGGAGGGGGUCGCGGCCGAUUAGUUAGUUGGCGGGGUAAUGGCCCACCAAGACGAUGAUCGGUAUCCGGCCUGAGAGGGCGUACGGACACACUGGAACUGAAACACGGUCCAGACUCCUACGGGAGGCAGCAGUGGGGAAUUUUGUGCAAUGGGGGAAACCCUGACGCAGCAACGCCGCGUGGAGGAUGAAGUCCUUCGGGACGUAAACUCCUUUCGAUCGGGACGAUUAUGACGGUACCGGAAGAAGAAGCCCCGGCUAACUUCGUGCCAGCAGCCGCGGUAAUACGAGGGGGGCGAGCGUUGUUCGGAAUUAUUGGGCGUAAAGGGUGCGUAGGCGGUUUGGUAAGUCUUAUGUGAAAUCUAUGGGCUCAACUCAUAGUCUGCAUGAGAAACUGCCGGGCUCGAGUGUGGGAGAGGUGAGUGGAAUUUCCGGUGUAGCGGUGAAAUGCGUAGAUAUCGGAAGGAACACCUGUGGCGAAAGCGGCUCACUGGACCACACUGACGCUGAUGCACGAAAGCUAGGGGAGCAAACAGGAUUAGAUACCCUGGUAGUCCUAGCCCUAAACGAUGAUCGCUUGGUGUGACGGGUACCCAAUCCCGCCGUGCCGUAGCUAACGCGUU
rnacentral:rRNA from 1 species